ACCCGCUGAACUUAAGCAUAUCAAUAAGCGGAGGAAAAGAAACUAACAAGGAUUCCCCUAGUAACGGCGAGUGAAGCGGGAAGAGCUCAAAUUUGAAAUCUGGUAGCCUUCGGUUGCCCGAGUUGUAAUCUAGAGAAGUGUUUUCCGCGUUGGCCCAUGUACAAGUCCCUUGGAACAGGGCGUCAUAGAGGGUGAGAAUCCCGUCCUUGACAUGGACCCCCAAUGCUUUGUGAUACACUUUCAACGAGUCGAGUUGUUUGGGAAUGCAGCUCAAAAUGGGUGGUGAAUUCCAUCUAAAGCUAAAUAUUGGCGAGAGACCGAUAGCGAACAAGUACCGUGAGGGAAAGAUGAAAAGCACUUUGGAAAGAGAGUUAAACAGUACGUGAAAUUGUUGAAAGGGAAACGAUUGAAGUCAGUCAUGCUCUUUGGAUUAAGCCGUUCUGCGGUGUAUUUCAUUGAGCGGGGUCAACAUCAGUUUUGAUCGCUGGAAAAGGGCAGGAGGAAGGUAGCACUCUCGGGUGAACUUAUAGCCUCUUGUCGUAUACAGUGAUUGGGACUGAGGAACGCAGCAUGCCUUUUGGCCGGGAUUCGUCCACGUACAUGCUUAGGAUGUUGACAUAAUGGCUUUAAACGACCCGUCUUGAAACACGG
rnacentral:rRNA from 1 species